AAGAGCCCCUUCAUACUGCUGCUGGCCAUCGACCCUCAUAUCAUCAGCAAGGCUGUAGAGAUAAACAGCAAGCGGGCGUUUUCCGAAAGCAACAUCGGGGGGUGGGACUACCUGCGCAACAUGGUGCAGCUGCCCUUCUACCUGCAGAACUCUGCGCUGCGCCGCGUCAAGACUGCG